UUACUAGCUACAAUGUAGGAUCUUAAGCUAGAAGGCUGUAGCAUACUAUAUUUCACAACGAUCCGGCAGGGACUGAAUGUGUGGCUGCUCCUUAAAUACUGCAGACAGUUGAUGAGGAACAGGUGAGGUGAUGACCUCAGCCAGGUACAGGCACGCCCCCUCAAGCACUGCCAGGAGAAAGACACCAGACAACACAACAAACACACUGUCACCCCGGCUGGGGAUUCGUGACACAAUGAGGACUUAAGAAAAGCAGAGGACGAUGUGCUGCUCAUGUGGAAGCAUUACAUCUCCACACUCUCAGUCUCCAGUGACAAAAGUCCAACCUGUGGUGAGAUUUUGUCCAUUUUGCAAAAGCUGGAGCAACACUACACUGUGCAGGAAGGUGACUCUGCCUUCACAAGGAGCAUCAAGGAGAACAUUUGGAAUGAUCUUUCCAAACACUACCAGGUUUUUUGUGGGGGAAAUAGAGUUGUGGUGAUUGCAACGAUCGCCGGAGCAUCUGGACCUGGAGUGGGUUGGAGAGUGGUGUCCAGGAUCAGCGAUGUCUCUUGAGUGCUGGAGACAAGAUCUUCCCCUGGGGCUGUGAGGUGGAGUAGGCCCGACGAUGUGGGAGCUGUCUGAUAUAGGCUGCCUCAGGCAUCGGGGGAUCCGGACUGCAGCGCGCGGCGGUGGUGGCUCUCUACCAGGGAUUACCAGGGAUGGAGGUGUCUCGGACACUUUAGGUGUGUUGGAUAUUUCGUCCAGCAAAUCACUGUUGGAAGCGAGUUCUUGGUCUAUAGUGCAGAUAAGGUCGUUCAUGUGACAACAGAGUCAAAAGCAUGUGACAAUGGAGUCAAAGAAUGGAGUGAACGGAAAAAGUGUGUUUAAGUACUUGACAUACGGAAAUUGGAAGAGUACGCGGCCUGGCCCUUAUUCCUGAACCUAGUUAUAAAACUCCAUAUAACGAUGCAACAGAUGUGUCCGCAGUAUAUCCACCUAACAAGAUACCAUGGCAUCACUGGGCUUGAGGGAAACACAAUUUGUGCCUUGAAUAUGUUUAUUGUUGUACAGAGGUUGUCAAGGUGGAUAUAUGUAAAGUGAGCGGCGUAGACACCAGAAACUGGGAUUUCCAUCCUGAGUCUUACACAUACCUAGGUUCAGGAAAUCAAAGCAUUUUGGUUAAAGUUAGGUAAAGAUUGUGGUUUGGCUUAAUUUUUUUAUUAGAUAUUUUUAUAAUAUUUUAUUUUAUUUUGACUUUUCUAAUGUUGCUUCUCUGUAUGUAAGCCCCUCAGAACUGUCUGAGGAAUACCUGACCUUUAUCUUCUUACAAUGUUAAUAAAUUCAUCACUGUUGGUCAUGUGCGUGACUUUUCAUAGUUGAUCAGAGUACACAUUCUUUAAAGAACUCUGGCCUCUGUACUUCCAAAGAUGUCUUUAAGGUGCUUUUUAUUGCAGAAGUCCUUCAAAAAGUAAUUGCUGUGCAACUUCUUUAAGUGGUUCAGAGAAAUAAAGUCAGUGAUAGUUUUCAGUCUGGCUUCCACUAAGUGCACAGUAGGGAAAAUGGACUUUUGAGGAUCAGAAAUUACAAAAGUUGAAUAUUUGGCUUUAGUGCUUCUUGACUUGAGUGCUGAUUUUGAUACAAUUGCUCAUUAAGGAACCUGUAUAUCAUUUUGUUGUUCUGAAUGUUUUAUUCUAAUUUUAAUGCAGAGGCCAUCAAUCAACCACUAUGGAUUUGCUGUUUUUCU